rnacentral:rRNA from 1 species
AAACCAGCACCUCAAGUGGUCAGGAGGAUUAUUGGGCCUAAAGCAUCCGUAGCCUGCUUUGUAAGUUUUCGGUUAAAUCCAUAUGCUCAACAUAUGGGCUGCCGGGAAUACUGCACAGCUAGGGAGUGGGAGAGGUAGACGGUACUCGGUAGGAAGGGGUAAAAUCCUUUGAUCUAUUGAUGACCACCUGUGGCGAAGGCGGUCUACCAGAACACGUCCGACGGUGAGGGAUGAAAGCUGGGGGAGCAAACCGGAUUAGAUACCCGAGUAGUCC